rnacentral:rRNA from 1 species
UACGUAGGGGACGAGCGUUGUCCGGAUUUAUUGGGUUUAAAGGGUGCGUAGGCGGGAAGAUAAGUCAGUGGUGAAAUCCUGCAGCUUAACUGUAGAAUUGCCGUUGAUACUAUUUUUCUUGAGUGUGGUCAAGGAAGGCGGAAUGUGUAAUGUAGCGGUGAAAUGCUUAGAUAUUACACAGAACACCGAUUGCGAAGGCAGCUUUCUGGGCCGUUACUGACGCUGAUGCACGAAAGCGUGGGGAUCGAACAGGAUUAGAUACCCGUGUA